rnacentral:lncRNA from 1 species
CUCCUGCUCUCUUGAAAGUCAGCAUACAGACUGUCUUACACAUUCCUUAUGUCCUCUGUACUCCGUUUGCUGCCAACCUGCCUCCAACUUUGACAAUUAAAAUGAGAUAUAACAAAACCUACACCAUUGUUCAUUUGAAGACUACAUCUCUGCCUCCUUAGUCCAAAUAAAGUUUCGCUGGCUCCAUCACCCGCCCCCUAACUUCCCUGAUCCUUUACAGCUCCCCUCGGCCUCCUGACACCUCUGUACAGCUUGCCUCUGUUUCUUGAACGCUUUUCCACCCACGGACUUAUUUUAUUCUUUGACCUCAGAGCAGGUAAGUGAACAGAGUGACGUGAGGUGGGGAGAGGCAGAUGGUUGCUACUGAUAGAACCUCAUUGUCUUUCUGAGACGUACCUCUUGUCCAAUCGUUUAGCUUCCUCGUAGUGGUGACCUCAUAGGAACUUCCUGUCAGCCUCCUCACCCUACCAUCCUGCCGCAAGAGUUGCCCCAUUUGACCCCUACAAACUGCCAUGCUUACCACAGAACCAUUUUUAGAUAUGCUGCCUCAGUCUUGAAUCAAAUGUGCAACUUCCUGUUUACCGAGAUGGAGGCCUUUGGGCCUGUGCAUUCUUCCUUUCCUGGGAUGUCUGUGUCCUCUCGCUCCACCUCUGCCUCUGAAGUAGAAAUGAUCUGCCAAAGAGGAACCCGGACUUUGUGAUAGAAAGCGCAGAUGGAGAGCUGCACGGAUCGAUCGGAAGGACAGAUACACGCCUUCGAAGAGUGCUGAACUUCUCU